UAUACCAAGUAAUAGAUAUCGAUUUAACCAAAUUAUAGAGUGCUCAGAACAAAAAUGACCAGAAUCCUAGAAACUGCAAACUGAAAAGUGAUGUUCAAUCAGUUUAUGCCUUUAGCAUUUGACAUAAUAUCUUUCUCUCAAUUGUCCUGUGUAUUCUCCCCCAUUGAAAUUGGAGAGCGUUACGCCUUUACAAAUGGAGACUGUUCAUCAGUCCAAGAUGAUCUUUUUAUUUCCGUUGCAUUCCCGUCCUCUCUUCACCUUCCUCUUGCAUUUGCUCUCUUCAUCCCUUCUGGGGUUGAUUUUUUGGUUCUUUUAGUUGAUUCUCCGUGCUUCGCCAUUACAGUUAUUUAUGUCAAAAAUUUGAAAGAUCGAUACCAAUUUGAAAGAUCGUGCAGUAGAAAAAAUUGUAAUGAAAGCAAGAAAGUGUACUUACAAACUGUUUUAUUCUGAAAACUUGAUCAAAAAUACAUAUGCCGAAGGAAAUAUAAGAGAGAGGGAGAAAGGUCCAAGAAAAUCUUUGUCAGGAAUUUUC
rnacentral:lncRNA from 1 species